UACGUAGGGUGCAAGCGUUAAUCGGAAUUACUGGGCGUAAAGCGUGCGCAGGCGGUUUUGUAAGUCUGUCGUGAAAUCCCCGGGCUCAACCUGGGAAUUGCGAUGGAGACUGCAAGGCCAGAAUCUGGCAGAGGGGGGUAGAAUUCCACGUGUAGCAGUGAAAUGCGUAGAGAUGUGGAGGAACACCGAUGGCGAAGGCAGCCCCCUGGGUCAAGAUUGACGCUCAUGCACGAAAGCGUGGGGAGCAAACAGG
rnacentral:rRNA from 1 species